AGCGAACGCUGGCGGCAGGCCUAACACAUGCAAGUCGAACGAAGUCUUCGGACUUAGUGGCGGACGGGUGAGUAACACGUGGGAACGUGCCUUUAGGUUCGGAAUAACUCAGGGAAAAUUGUGCUAAUACCGAAUGUGGCCUUCGGGGGAAAGAUUUAUCGCCUUUAGAGCGGCCCGCGUCUGGUUAGCUAGUUGGUGAGGUAAAGGCUCACCAAGGCGACGAUCAGUAGCUGGUCUGAGAGGAUGAUCAGCCACAUUGGGACUGAGACACGGCCCAAACUCCUACGGGAGGCAGCAGUGGGGAAUCUUGCGCAAUGGGCGAAAGCCUGACGCAGCCAUGCCGCGUGAAUGAUGAAGGUCUUAGGAUUGUAAAAUUCUUUCACCGGGGACGAUAAUGACGGUACCCGGAGAAGAAGCCCCGGCUAACUUCGUGCCAGCCGCCGCCGUAA
rnacentral:rRNA from 1 species